UGAAAGUAAAAUAUCUUCAUAUGAACCAGUUUAUCACGAAGGGAAGGUUAGUUUCAUCUGGUCUUUAUAAAUUUUUAUGUUAUGACAGGUGUAGUUCAUGUUAUGUUGGGUAUACACUGUAUAAUUUAUUUUCUAUUCAGUGGAUAAAACCUUGUUAAGUUUCUCAGUGGAGUGAUUUGUAUUCAUUUUAAACGGAUACACAUCCACUGAUACACACUUAUCCCUCCUCCCUUUCCAAACGCCUUCGAUGCUUGUCCCUCUCCCGGUGUUGUGCCAAAAAGUGAUUGCCAAAAACUGAUUUCCGGUCUAGCCCGGCUAGUAAUCAGGUCGUGACAAACCGUUCGAGCACUUCCUCGUGGCGCCAGAAUUGUGUUGCUUGUGUCACUGAGGAGUGUGGAACGAGAGAGAGCAGUGAGCACGGGGAGUGCAGAGACACAGGAGCAGAGAGCACUAAACAGGGACUUUUUGGGAAGAAGACACGACACGGGAGUAAAGGGGGAGCACGGGGAUUUAUUGUCAUUUUCGCACUGUAAAUAAACGCACCACUUGCAGUGAAGAGUCCAGCGUUCUGGGUCCUCCUUUCCCCCACAUCCCCACGGCUUGCCCUGGCAAACCAUGACAAUCACAACAACCACAAACUCUGGGAAGUCUGGGACUUGAGAAGACGCAGUAAAGAAAUAUUUCAAAGAGUGGGUUUGUGUAUAAUUAUUUUACUUGAUAAGCUGUAGCGAUAAAAGGUUUUAACUCUUUAUAAAAAUGAAAAUGGUAUUUUGUGGCGAAAAUAAAAGUUUUGGUUACAGCCACUAAAUUACCAACAGACCCCCUGACUGAUGUCAAUUACAACUGUUGGAUCAUUUAGAAAGACGGCAGGUUCACUUAUAAAAAGAUGUGCAAUGAGCAAUUUAAAGAAAUAGCCAAGUUGAUUGAUUUGAUUUUUUUUUUUUGAUUUGAUUUUUUUAUU